rnacentral:rRNA from 1 species
GUGUCAGCAGCCGCGGUAAUACGAAUGGGGCAAGCGUUGUUCGGAUUUACUGGGCGUAAAGCGGGCGUAGGCGGCCGGCUAAGUCGGAUGUGAAAUCCCGGGGCUCAACUCCGGAACUGCAUUCGAUACUGGUCGGCUAGAGUUCGAGAGGGGGAUGCGGAAUUCCGCGUGUAGCAGUGAAAUGCGUAGAUAUGCGGAGGAACACCUGAGGCGAAGGCGGCAUCCUGGAUCGACACUGACGCUGAGGCCCGAAAGCGUGGGGAGCAAACAGGAUUAGAUACCCUGGUAGUCCACGCCGUAAACGAUGGGUGCUAGCUGUUGGGGAGCCUAGCUCUUCAGUGGCGCAGCUAACGCGUUAAGCACCCCGCCUGGGGAGUACGGCCGCAAGGUUAAAACUCAAAUGAAUUGGCGGGG